GAUGAACGCUGGCGGCGUGCUUAACACAUGCAAGUCGAGCGAGAAGUUUUGAAAAGAUUCUUCGGAUGAAAUUUAAAAUGGAAAGCGGCGGACGGGUGAGUAACGCGUAGGCAACCUGCCCCAUACAAAGGGAUAGCAUUUGGAAACGAAUAUUAAUACCUUAUGAAACUUAACUAGUGCAUGCUAGGUAGGUCAAAGAUUUAUCGGUAUGGGAUGGGCCUGCGUCUGAUUAGCUAGUUGGUGAGGUAACGGCUCACCAAGGCGACGAUCAGUAGCCGUCCUGAGAGGGUGAACGGCCACAUUGGAACUGAGACACGGUCCAAACUCCUACGGGAGGCAGCGGUGGGGAAUAUUGCACAAUGGGGGAAACCCUGAUGCAGCAACGCCGCGUGAACGAUGAAGGCCUUUGGGUCGUAAAGUUCUGUUCUAGGUGAUGAAAACUGACAGUAACCGAGGAGAAAGCCCCGGCUAACUCCGUG
rnacentral:rRNA from 1 species